rnacentral:rRNA from 1 species
GACGAACGCUGGCGGCGUGCUUAACACAUGCAAGUCGAACGGAAAGGCCCUGCUUUUGUGGGGUGCUCGAGUGGCGAACGGGUGAGUAACACGUGAGUAACCUGCCCUUGACUUUGGGAUAACUUCAGGAAACUGGGGCUAAUACCGGAUAGGAGCUCCUGCUGCAUGGUGGGGGUUGGAAAGUUUCGGCGGUUGGGGAUGGACUCGCGGCUUAUCAGCUUGUUGGUGGGGUAGUGGCUUACCAAGGCUUUGACGGGUAGCCGGCCUGAGAGGGUGACCGGCCAAAUUGGGACUGAGCUACGGCCCAGACUCCUACGGGAGGCAGCAGUGGGGAAUAUUGCACAAUGGGCUGAAGCCUGAUGCAGCCACGCCGCGUGCGUGAUGACGGCCUUCGGGUUGUAAACCGCUUUCGCCUGUGACGAAGCGUGAGUGACGGUAAUGGGUAAAGAAGCACCGGCUAACUACGUG